rfam:Triticum aestivum genome assembly, contig: Triticum_aestivum_CS42_TGACv1_scaffold_146575_2BS
CAACUACUCCCUCUUUCCCAAAUUUCUUGUCUUAGAUUUGUCUAGAUACGGAUGUAUUAGAUACGGAUGUAUCUAAUACUAAAAUGUGACUUGAUACAUCCGUAUCUAGACAAAUCUAAGGCAAUAAUUUUGGGACGGAGGGAGUACUUU